rnacentral:pre_miRNA from 1 species
GUUCUACUCCCUCCGUUCCGAAUUACUCGUCGCAGAAAUGGAUGUAUAUAGAUGUAUUUUAGUUCUAGAUACAUCCAUUUUUGCGACGAGUAAUUUGGAACGGAGGGAGUAGUAG